rnacentral:rRNA from 1 species
CCUACGGGGGGCUGCAGUGAGGAAUAUUGGUCAAUGGGCGCGAGCCUGAACCAGCCAAGUAGCGUGAAGGAUGACUGCCCUACGGGUUGUAAACUUCUUUUAUAAAGGAAUAAAGUGAGGCACGUGUGCCUUUUUGUAUGUACUUUAUGAAUAAGGAUCGGCUAACUCAGUGCCAGAAGCCGCGGUAAUACGGAGGGUCCGAGCGUGAUCUGGAGUUCUUGUGGUUACGGGGGUGGCAGAUGGGUUGGUAGGUUAGUUGUGAAAGUUGGCGGCUAAACCGUAAAAUGGCAAUGGAUACUGGCAGUCUAGAGUACAGUUGAGGUGAGCGGAAUUCCUGGUGUAGCGGUGGAAUGCUUAGAUAUCACGAAGAACACCGAUUGCGAAGGCAGGUUACUGGACUGCAACUGACACUGAGGCGCGAAAGUAUGGGUAUCGAACAGGAUUAGAUACCCGUGUAGUC